rnacentral:rRNA from 1 species
AUUGAACGCUGGCGGCAGGCCUAACACAUGCAAGUCGAACGGAGCAGCGGUCGGGUGAGUAAUGCCUAGGAAUCUGCAUCGUAGUGGGGGAUAACGUCCGAUAACGGGCGCUAAUACCGCAUACUAUCAGAUGAACCUAGGUCGGUUUAGCUAUGUGGUGGGGUAAAGGCAUCACAAGGCGACGACCCGGAACUGGUCUGAGAGGAUGAGCAGUCAAACGGGAAAGGAGACACGGUCCAGACUCCUACGGGAGGCAGCAGUGGGGAAUAGUGGAAAAUGGGCGAAAGCCUGAUCCAGCCAUGCCGCGUGUGUGAAGAAGGUCUUCGGAUUGUAAAGCACUUUAAGCUGGGAGGCGUUACCAACAGAAUAAGCACCGGCUAACUUCGUGCCAGCAGCCGCGGUAAUAC